GACGUAGGGUCCGAGCGUUGUCCGGAGUUACUGGGCGUAAAGGGCGCGUAGGCGGUUUCUUACGUUCCACGUGAAAGCCCCUGGCUCAACCAGGGAGGGUCGUGGGAAACGGGGAAACUGGAGGCAGCGAGAGGCUGGUGGAAUUCCCGGAGUAGUGGUGAAAUGCGUAGAGAUCGGGAGGAACACCGGUGGCGAAGGGCGGUUCUCUGGGCAUGUCC
rnacentral:rRNA from 1 species